rnacentral:rRNA from 1 species
GGCGCACGGGUGCGUAACGCGUAUGCAACCUACCUUUUACAGGGGGAUAGUCAAGAGAAAUUUUGAAUAAUACCCCAUACGAUCUAUAAAAAGCAUUUUUUAUAGAGGAAAACUUUGGUGGUAAAAGAUGGGCAUGCGUCCUAUUAGCUAGAUGGAGAGGUAACGGCUCCCCAUGGCGACGAUAGGUAGGGGUCCUGAGAGGGAGAUCCCCCACACUGGUACUGAGACACGGACCAGACUCCUACGGGAGGCAGCAGUGAGGAAUAUUGGACAAUGGAGGCAACUCUGAUCCAGCCAUGCCGCGUGCAGGAAGACUGCCCUAUGGGUUGUAAACUGCUUUUAUACAGGAAGAAACCUAUCUACGUGUAGAUAGCUGACGGUACUGUACGAAUAAGGAUCGGCUAACUCCGUGCCAGCAGCCGCGGUAAUACGGAGGAUCCAAGCGUUAUCCGGAAUCAUUGGGUUUAAAGGGUCCGCAGGCGGUUUGUCAAGUCAGAGGUGAAAGCCUACCGCUCAACGGUAGAACUGCCUUUGAUACUGACAGACUUGAGUUAUUGUGAAGUAGUUAGAAUGUGUAGUGUAGCGGUGAAAUGCAUAGAUAUUACACAGAAUACCGAUUGCGAAGGCAGAUUACUAACAAUAUACUGACGCUGAGGGACGAAAGCGUGGGUAGCGAACAGGAUUAGAUACCCUGGUAGUCCACGCCGUAAACGAUGGUCACUAGCUGUUUGAGAAACAUUGGUUUUUUGAGUGGCUAAGCGAAAGUGAUAAGUGACCC